rnacentral:rRNA from 1 species
GAUUUGGCGGACGGGUGAGUAACGCGUAUGUAACCUACCCUGUACAGGGGGAUAACCCGGAGAAAUUCGGACUAAUAUCCCAUAACAAUAUCCGGGGGCAUCUUUGGAUAUUUAAAGUUCCGGCGGUACGGGAUGGGCAUGCGUAACAUUAGCUAGUUGGUAAGGUAACGGCUUACCAAGGCUUUGAUGUUUAGGGGUCCUGAGAGGGUGGUCCCCCACACUGGUACUGAGACACGGACCAGACUCCUACGGGAGGCAGCAGUGAGGAAUAUUGGUCAAUGGGCGCAAGCCUGAACCAGCCAUCCCGCGUGCAGGAAGACGGCGCUAUGCGUUGUAAACUGCUUUUCCAGGGAGAGAAACUUGCGCACGUGUUGCGCAAUUGACGGUACCCUGGGAAUAAGCAUCGGCUAACUCCGUGCCAGCAGCCGCGGUAAUAAU